CUGUACAUCUGACAAUAUCUUUUCAACAGACAUAUUGUGGAACCUAACGGACGGACAUCUUGUUGUUUUCCAUUUAAAUGCAAACUUUAUUUAGGGUAAAUAGACAUGCCUUUAAAAAUCCGGAUAAAGUGUGAUCUCUCGGUAUCAUUGAUUACAACAGAAUUACAUGAAAAUUGCAAACUCGCCAUGCCACGCCAGUUCACUGAUUUGUAUGUGUCACAAACAGUUAUCGUACCAGUGUGAAUUUUAAUAGUCGAAAGAGAAUUUCACUGCCAGUGACAUUCGAUCCCUCGACGUUCAGCACUGUUUGUAUAGUUCAAAUUUAUUUGCACACUCACUCUUGAAAAACGCAGCACAUCACAUUUUUAUACAAAACAGCAUAAUUAAAUUGUCAUAUUGUAAGUACAAACAACUUUGCUUUUUUCCACUGAAACAUUGAAAUAAUCUGAAGGUAAAUAUGUUCGGCAUGUUUAACAAAAAAUAAUUAUCAUAUGUAUCUUAUUUCAAAAUAUACAAGGUCAUAGCAUAAACACAUAUUACAAAAA